rnacentral:rRNA from 1 species
AACGAACGCUGGCGGCAUGCCUAACACAUGUAAGUCGAACGAAGCCUUCGGGCUUAGUGGCGCACGGGUGCGUAACACGUGGAAUCUGCCCUUCGGUUCGGAAUAACAGUUAGAAAUGACUGCUAAUACCGGAUGAUGACGAAAGUCCAAAGAUUUAUCGCCGAAGGAUGAGCCCGCGUAGGAUUAGGUAGUUGGUAGGGUAAUGGCCUACCAAGCCGACGAUCCUUAGCUGGUCUGAGAGGAUGAUCAGCCACACUGGGACUGAGACACGGCCCAGACUCCUACGGGAGGCAGCAGUGGGGAAUAUUGGACAAUGGGCGAAAGCCUGAUCCAGCAAUGCCGCGUGAGUGAUGAAGGCCUUAGGGUUGUAAAGCUCUUUUACCAGGGAUGAUAAUGACAGUACCUGGAGAAUAAGCUCCGGCUAACUCCG